rnacentral:tRNA from 8 species
GAAAAAGUAUUGCAAGAACUGCUAACUCAUGCUCCCAUGCAUAAAAGCAUGGCUUUUUCA